GGGCCGCUAGCUCAAUUGGCAGAGCAGCAGACUCUUAAUCUGCGGGUUCGGGGUUCGAUUCCCUGGCGGCUCACCA
rnacentral:tRNA from 2 species